UGGGGAAUAUUGCACAAUGGGCGCAAGCCUGAUGCAGCCAUGCCGCGUGUAUGAAGAAGGCCUUCGGGUUGUAAAGUACUUUCAGCGGGGAGGAAGGGAGUAAAGUUAAUACCUUUGCUCAUUGACGUUACCCGCAGAAGAAGCACCGGCUAACUCCGUGCCAGCAGCCGCGGUAAUACGGAGGGUGCAAGCGUUAAUCGGAAUUACUGGGCGUAAAGCGCACGCAGGCGGUUUGUUAAGUCAGAUGUGAAAUCCCCGGGCUCAACCUGGGAACUGCAUCUGAUACUUGGCAGGUUGAGUCUCGGAGAGGGGGGUAGAAUUCCCGGGGUAGGGGGUAAAUGCGUAGAGAUCUGGAGGAAUAACGGUGGCGGAGGCGGCCCCCUGGACGAAGACCUAAGCUCAGGUGCGAAAGGGUGGGGAGCAAACAGG
rnacentral:rRNA from 1 species